rnacentral:rRNA from 1 species
GACGAACGCUGGCGGCGUGCUUAACACAUGCCAGUCGAACGGAAAGGCCCUGCUUUUGUGGGGUUCUCGAGUGGCGAACGGGUGAGUAACACGUGAGUAACCUGCCCUUGACUUUGGGAUAACUUCAGGAAACUGGGGCUAAUACCGGAUAGGAGCUCCUGCUGCAUGGUGGGGGGUGGAAAGUUUCGGCGGUUGGGGAUGGACUCGCGGCUUAUCAGCUUGUUGGUGGGGUAGUGGCUUACCAAGGCUUUGACGGGUAGCCGGCCUGAGAGGGUGACCGGCCAAAUUGGGACUGAGAUACGGCCCAGACUCCUACGGGAGGAAGCAGUGGGGAAUAUUGCACAAUGGGCGGAAGCCUGAUGCAGCAACGCCGCGUGCGGGAUGACGGCCUUCGGGUUGUAAACCGCUUUCGCCUGUGACGAAGCGUGAGUGACGGUAAUGGGUAAAGAAGCACCGGCUAACUACGUG